CAAAAACAAAAAAUAAUCCCUUUUACUCCCUUGAAUUCGACAGCCCCAAACAUCCGUCAUCCUCAAAUUUUCAUCCACUUAAACACCCUAAAAUUUCCCCAUAUUAAGUCAUUUUAAGUUGAUUUAUGGAACUAUCAUGCAUGGAGGACUGUUAGAGCUUACUUUGGAGCUUUCAUCUCAUCAUAAUCUUCAUCCUACAAACCAUUAAUCCUUCGCAAAUUUUAUGAACUUGUUGCUUUUGUUUAAAGUUAUUACGCGCAAAUUGGAUACCCGACUUGCUAGCAUACAUACGGACGCAAAUUCGUGA
rnacentral:lncRNA from 1 species